AUCGGUACGGGUUGUGGGAGCAAGAGCCCGGAGAUGGAUUCUGAGACACGAAUCCAGGCCCUACGGGGCGCAGCAGGCGCGAAAACUUUACAAUGCGAGAAAUCGUGAUAAGGGAACCCCGAGUGCCCGUAAAUUCGGGCUGUCCAUCAGUGCAAAAAACUGGUGAAGAAAGAGCCGGGCAAGACCGGUGCCAGCCGCCGCGGUAAUACCGGCGGCUCGAGUGGUGGCCACUAUUACUGGGCUUAAAGCGUCCGUAGCUUGGUUGUUAAGUCUUCUGGGAAAUCCAUCGGCUUAACCGAUGGGAGUUCAGGAGAUACUGGCAACCUAGGGACCGGGAGAGGUGAGAGGUACUCCAGGGGUAGGAGUGAAAUCCUGUAAUCCUUGGGGGACCACCUGUGGCGAAGGCGUCUCACUAGAACGGCUCCGACAGUGAGGGACGAAAGCUGGGGGAGCAAACCGGAUUAGAUACCCGGGUAGUCCCAGCUGUAAACAAUGCGCGUUAGGUG
rnacentral:rRNA from 1 species